rnacentral:rRNA from 1 species
CAGUAGCCGCGGUAAUACGUAGGGUGCGAGCGUUAAUCGGAAUUACUGGGCGUGAAGCGUGCGCAGGCGGUUCGUUAAGACAGAUGUGAAAUCCCCGGGCUUAACCUGGGAACUGCAUUUGUGACUGGCGAGCUAGAGUAUGGCAGAGGGGGGUAGAAUUCCACGUGUAGCAGUGAAAUGCGUAGAGAUGUGGAGGAAUACCGAUGGCGAAGGCAGCCCCCUGGGCCAAUACUGACGCUCAUGCACGAAAGCGUGGGGAGCAAACAGGAUUAGAUACCCCAGUAGUCCCUGUCUCUUAUAA